CUAAGCAUAUCAAUAAGCGGAGGAAAAGAAACCCAACAGGGAUUGCCUCAGUACGGCGAGUGAAGCGGCAACAGCUCAAAUUUGAAAUCUGGCCCUUCCGGGGUCCGAGUUGUAAUUUGUAGAGAGUGUUUCGGGUGAGGCCAUGGUUUAAGUCUAUUGGAACAUGGCGUCACAGAGGGUGAGAAUCCCGUAUGUGACCGUGGCACGAGCCCAUGUGAAACCUCUUCGACGAGUCGAGUUGUUUGGGAAUGCAGCUCAAAAUGGGUGGUAAAUUUCAUCUAAAGCUAAAUACUGGCUGGAGACCGAUAGCGCACAAGUAGAGUGAUCGAAAGAUGAAAAGCACUUUGGAAAGAGAGUUAAACAGUACGUGAAAUUGUUGAAAGGGAAGCGCUGGCAACCAGACCUGCCCGUAGGCGAUCAGCCGCUGUUCUCAGCGGUGCACUCGUUCUGCGAUCAGGCCAGCAUCGGUUUCGGCGGUCGGAUAAAGGCCCGGGGAAUGUGGCUUCCUCUCGGGGGAGUGUUAUAGCCCCGGGCGCAAUGCGGCCAGUCGGGACCGAGGACCGCGCUUCGGCAAGGAUGCUGGCGUAAUGGUUGUCAGCGACCCGUCUUGAAACACGGACCAAGGAGUCUAACAUUUAUGCGAGUGUUUGGGUGUCAAACCCAUACGCGGAAUGAAAGUGAACGGAGGUGAGAACCCUUUCGGGGGCGCAUCAUCGACCGAUCCAGAUGUCUUCGGAUGGAUUUGAGUAUGAGCAAAAAUGUUGGGACCCGAAAGAUGGUGAACUAUGCCUGAAUAGGGUGAAGCCAGAGGAAACUCUGGUGGAGGCUCGCAGCGGUUCUGACGUGCAAAUCGAUCGUCAAAUUUGGGUAUAGGGGCGAAAGACUAAUCGAACCAUCUAGUAGCUGGUUCCUGCCGAAUC
rnacentral:rRNA from 1 species